rnacentral:rRNA from 1 species
AGUCAAUAGAUACCCCGGUAGUCCAUGCCGUAAACGAUGAUUGCUAGGUGUGGGGGGUCUGACCCCUUCCGUGCCGGAGUUAAACACAAAUAAGCAAUCCACCUGGGGAGUACGGCCGCAAGGUUGAAACUCAAAGGAAUUGACGGGGGCCCGCACAAGCAGUGGAGUAUGUGGUUUAAUUCGAAGCAACGCGAAGAACCUUACCAGGUCUUGACAUCCACCGAAUCCUGUAGAGAUACGGGAGUGCCCUUCGGGGAACGGUGAGACAGGUGGUGCAUGGUUGUCGUCAGCUCGUGUCGUGAGAUGUUGGGUUAAGUCCCGCAACGAGCGCAACCCUUGUGAAUAGUUGCUACGAAAGAGCACUCUAUUCAGACCGCCGUUGACAAAACGGAGGAAGGUGGGGAUGACGUCAAAUCAUCAUGCCCCUUAUGACCUGGGCUACACACGUACUACAACGGCCGUUAACAGAGGGAUGCAAUGCCGCGAGGUGGAGCGAACCCCUAAAAACGGUCUCAGUUCAGAUUGCAGGCUGAAACUCGCCUGC